GAUUUUCUUGGGUGGAGCUGAUAUUGUUUUGUUGACUUUGAAGUUCUUUUUGUAUGUCCUACAUGAAGAAACGAUGCUGUGAAUAUGCUAUGAGGGGUACUCAUCCUGUUCAAAAGAAACGUGAUGCUGAACCCACGAAAUCUUAUGUACAGUGACAAUGCCAGUUGACAUCUCAGCAUGGGUGGAAGGACUCUCUAGACAAAGAGCUUUGGGAAGUCCAUGGCUGCUAAGAGGAGGAGAAUCAAUCUUCUCUGGGGACCGGCUCUGCCAGGCUAGUCAGCCUCAGGUGCUCAGCCUUAAAUGUUUGAAUGUGUUGAGUGAAAAUUAUCCCCGUCUGUUGGAAGACUUGGUGGCCAGUAGGUGGCACUGUUUGAAAGACCACAGAAGCUUUGGCGGGUGAAGAUUUGCUGGAGGAAAUCUUUCCAGGGGGUUGGCUUUGAGGGCUCAUCCCCUAGCCCCACUUCCAGAUGCUAGGGACAGCCAGCUUCACACGCCUGCGGGCACGCUGUCCCUGCUAUGAUGGGCUGUAUCCUUCCUGGAACUGUAAGCUUAAAUAAACUCUCUCUCCAAAGCAGAUUCUGUCAGGGCGUUUUUAUCACAGCCACGGAAAAGCAACGAACACAAGCCCCAACUAAGAAACAAUUCUUUUAAAUGCUUAACUAGAGCCUAAUCCAUGCUUCAAAUCAACAGCUGACGUUAGGUGACUUGUUAUAUUCAUCGUGUCUUUGAAAGGCAGAAUGGACUCAGGAAUACCCACUUCCUCUCCUACUUUAUGUCAUGAUGCACCCCCACCCCACAUGCACACACCGUCAGUUACCUCAAAU